AUUGAACGCUGGCGGCAGGCCUAACACAUGCAAGUCGAGCGAGCGGCGGACGGGUGAGUAAUGUCUGGGAAACUGCCUGAUGGAGGGGGAUAACUACUGGAAACGGAAGCUAAUACCGCAUACCAUCAGAUGUGCCCAGAUGGGAUUAGCUAGUAGGUGGGGUAAAGGCAUACCAAGGCGACGAUCCGUAACUGGUUUGAGAGGAUGAUCAGUCACAAUGCAACUGAGACACGGUCCAGACUCCUACGGGAGGCAGCAGUGGGGAAUAUUGGACAAUGGGCGAAAGCCUAAUCCAGCCAUGCCGCGUGUGUGAAGAAGGUCUUCGGAUUGUAAAGCACUUGAAGUUGGGAGGCGUUACCAACAGAAUAAGCACCGGCUAACUUCGUGCCAGCCGCCGCGGUAAUUC
rnacentral:rRNA from 1 species